rnacentral:rRNA from 1 species
GACGAACGCUGGCGGCGUGCCUAAUACAUGCAAGUAGGACGCAGUUGCGAACGGGUGAGUAACGCGUAGGUAACUACCUAUUAGAGGGGGAUAACUAUUGGAAACGAUAGCUAAUACCGCAUACUAGUAGAUGGACCAGCGUUGUAUUAGCUAGUAGGUAGGGUAAUGGCCUACCUAGGCAAAGAUACAUAGCCGACCUGAGCGGGUGAUCGGCCACACUGGGAUGGAGACACGGCCCAGACUCCUACGGGAGGCAGCAGUAGGGAAUCUUCGGCAAUGGGGGGAACCCUGACCGUGCAACGCCGCGUGAUUGAAGUAGGUUUUCGGAUCGUAAAACUCUGUUGUUAGAGAAGCGGUAUCUAACCAGAAAGCCACGGCUAACUACGUGCCAGCAGCCGCGGUAAUUC